rnacentral:sRNA from 1 species
GGGUAGGUAAAGAAGAGGCAUGGAGGUGAAUGCAGGCAGCAGCUUUCAGGGAAGAAGAAGCAUCAGGCUGCAGACCUUGCCUCCCCCCUGCCCUGAUGGCAGGACUGAGGCCUCCCAGGGAUGAAGAAACUGAGGCUGAGGCAGUUCAACAACUUGCCCAAGGCCACGCAGCAGGUAAACACAGCAACAAAAAAGUUAUGAGAACCAAGAGCUCUGAGAAGGCUGCCAACGAUUAUCACAGUGUCCGUGUGGCCCAUGAAGAUGUCAGAGAGAGUUGCCCACCUCUUGGUCUGGAAACCUUAAAAAUCACAGACUUCCAGCUCCAUGCCUCCACGGUGAAGCGCUAUGGCCUGGGUGCACAUCGAGGGAGACUCAACAUCCAGGCGGGCAUUAAUGAAAAUGAUUUUUAUGACGGAGCGUGGUGCGCGGGAAGAAAUGACCUCCAGCAGUGGAUUGAAGUGGAUGCUCGGCGCCUGACCAGAUUCACUGGUGUCAUCACUCAAGGGAGGAACUCCCUCUGGCUGAGUGACUGGGUGACAUCCUAUAAGGUCAUGGUGAGCAAUGACAGCCACACGUGGGUCACUGUUAAGAAUGGAUCUGGAGACAUGAUAUUUGAGGGAAACAGUGAGAAGGAGAUCCCUGUUCUCAAUGAGCUACCCGUCCCCAUGGUGGCCCGCUACAUCCGCAUAAACCCUCAGUCCUGGUUUGAUAACGGGAGCAUCUGCAUGAGAAUGGAGAUCCUGGGCUGCCCACUGCCAGAUCCUAAUAACUAUUAUCACCGCCAGAACGAGAUGACCACCACUGAUGACCUGGAUUUUAAGCACCACAACUAUAAGGAAAUGCGCCAGUUGAUGAAAGUUGUGAAUGAAAUGUGUCCCAAUAUCACCAGAAUUUACAACAUUGGAAAAAGCUACCAGGGCCUGAAACUGUAUGCUGUGGAGAUCUCAGAUCACCCUGGGGAGCAUGAAGUUGGGUCUCAUUCCGUCUCCCAGGCUGGAGUACAGUGGCACAAUCUUGGCUCAUUACAACCUCCACCUUUUGGGCUCAAGCAAUCCUCCCACCUCAGCCUCCUGAGCAGCUGGGAUUACAGGUGAGCCCGAGUUCCACUACAUCGCGGGGGCCCACGGCAAUGAGGUGCUGGGCCGGGAGCUGCUGCUGCUGCUGGUGCAGUUCGUGUGUCAGGAGUACUUGGCCCGGAAUGCGCGCAUCGUCCACCUGGUGGAGGAGACGCGGAUUCACGUCCUCCCCUCCCUCAACCCCGAUGGCUACGAGAAGGCCUACGAAGGGGUAAUGGCCCUGGCCCAUCUCACCCAAUAGGACAUGGGCAGCGAGGCCCCAGCUCCAGAGGCUCGGAGCUGGGAGGCUGGUCCCUGGGACGCUGGACCCACGAUGGAAUUGACAUCAACAACAACUUUCCUGAUUUAAACACGCUGCUCUGGGAGGCAGAGGAUCGACAGAAUGUCCCCAGGAAAGUUCCCAAUCACUAUAUUGCAAUCCCUGAGUGGUUUCUGUCGGAAAAUGCCACGGUGGCUGCCGAGACCAGAGCAGUCAUAGCCUGGAUGGAAAAAAUCCCUUUUGUGCUGGGCGGCAACCUGCAGGGCGGCGAGCUGGUGGUGGCGUACCCCUACGACCUGGUGCGGUCCCCCUGGAAGACGCAGGAACACACCCCCACCCCCGACGACCACGUGUUCCGCUGGCUGGCCUACUCCUAUGCCUCCACACACCGCCUCAUGACGGACGCCCGGAGGAGGGUGUGCCACACGGAGGACUUCCAGAAGGAGGAGGGCACUGUCAAUGGGGCCUCCUGGCACACCGUCGCUGGAAGUCUGAACGAUUUCAGCUACCUUCAUACAAACUGCUUCGAACUGUCCAUCUACGUGGGCUGUGAUAAAUACCCACAUGAGAGCCAGCUGCCCGAGGAGUGGGAGAAUAACCGGGAAUCUCUGAUCGUGUUCAUGGAGCAGGUUCAUCGUGGCAUUAAAGGCUUGGUGAGAGAUUCACAUGGAAAAGGAAUCGCAAACGCCAUUAUCUCAGUAGAAGGCAUUAACCAUGACAUCCGAACAGGCGGAGUUUCCCUGCAGAAGCUUUCUCUUGCCUGCCACCGUGUGAGAUGUGCUUUUGCUCUUUCUUCAUCUUCCACCAUGAUUGUGAGGCCUCCCCAGCCAUAUGGAACUGUGCCUCACUCUAGUCCUGACCCUGUUACCACCAAAGUAUCCCCACUGAGGAACUUCUAGUGAAUAUAUUUCAAGAAGAAGGGAACUAACCCCAGGAAGAAGACUGAAAGCUUCAUGAGGGUAAACUGAGACUCUUCGCUAUUGAAAUUCUAUUGCCAGGCGCAUCCCCCAGCCCACAGUGAAUGGAAUUGGAUUAUUCUGAAGCACAAUCAUUAUUCCAAGUACAUGGUUUCUGUAAUGGGAUAAUUGGCUGACCCUGGUCCUAGACAACACCUGAAGUUUAAUUUCUCUGAAAGGCUCUGCCUUGAGCUUGCUUUAAAACCUGCGAUUAUAAGGAGACACCUAAUGAGACCAGGAGGGAACUUCUACACCGCACAGCUAUUUUUAAAAAAUGGGAUUAACAGGGGAAAAUGUCAAACAGGGGGAUCUCCAUGUUUCUGCAAUGCAUGACAGGUUACCCAGCGUUCCAAAUAA